ensembl:lncRNA
GGGGUGCGUGGGGACCGUCUCCUGCGGGCAGAGCCCUGCGGCUGGGAUUGGGAGCCGCGUUCCCCUGCCCGCCUGCUUUCACGGGGAUCGGUGUUGCCGGCUGGUGGACGUGCACCGGCGGUUGCGUAUGUGCCAGAGCUCAUUCACCGCGAUGGGAGCCCUCCUCCUUCCCUCAGCCAUUCCCGCUUCAAGGAGGCUUUCCCCGUCUCCUCCUGCAGUCAUGGGGGGUUUAAUUCAGCUGCGUGCCUUUGCACGAGAGGUGAGAGGUGUGCAAUCCGAACUCCCGGAGGACUGUCGUACCACAGUUCGGCACCUGACAUCUCUGGUGAUGUUGCGUAUCCAAUGCCUUCACCGGGAGCCGUCCCUCCCUCCUCUCCGUUUCAUUCCGCCCUGAGGCAAUGCGGAGAAUCACAGAAUCACAAGGAAGUGCUUGGUCAUCGUGCUCUCCUCGCUUAGGCUGGGGGAUAAGACAGCAAGAUUGCAGCCUGUAUGAUAGAAUUGAGCCUUCAUCAGCUAUGCAGUGUGCUGGUACGCGCGCUGUUAACAGGCAAGGCUGCUAUACGGGAACAAAAAAUAUUGUUUGACUGGGCUGAAUAACUGACAGUAGUGCGAAUUGCAAAGGGACGACAUCAACACAGAUUGAAUAUUCAGCGUGAAUGCUGACAUUUCUUGAACUAUGCAUAAUAGCUGGGAAGAACAAGCACAUUUCCGGAGACUUGUUGGGAGAAAUCCAUAAGAAGUAUUAGACUAUGACCAGGUAACCCCACCGGAGCAGUCCAACAUCUUUAGGAAAACUGUGUGGACUAUGAGUAUCCCGGCUUCCAGGAGCUCUGCACUCCCCCAUCACACACCCCAGGGAUGAUGAAGACCCAUCUGCCUCAGCUCAUCUCCCAGACCCUUCAUACACAUUUCACUGUGACCAGUGCUGUCACAAGUGGUAAGUGUUGCUGGGAAGACGUUCUGCCUCUCCUUGUGCCUGUUAAAGGUGUCAGAAAGACUUACCUGAGGUGUUUGUCUUGCACUGCUGCUGUGGCUGCAGGGUGAAUCCACCAUUCCUCCCCCACAGCACCAUCACUGCAAGUUCCGGUGGCAGCAAGGAGCAGGAUCAGAA